UGGUGGGUUGCCUUGUCAGGUUGAUUCCGGUAACGAACGAGACCUCAACCUGCUAAAUAGUCACGGUCGAUUUUUCGGCUGGCCGACUUCUUAGAGGGACUGUUGGCGACUAGCCAAUGGAAGUUUGAGGCAAUAACA
rnacentral:rRNA from 1 species